rnacentral:rRNA from 1 species
AGUGAACGCUGGCGGUAGGCCUAACACAUGCAAGUCGAACGGCAGCACAGUAAGAGCUUGCUCUUACGGGUGGCGGGUGGCGGACGGGUGAGGAAUACAUCGGAAUCUACUUUUUCGUGGGGGAUAACGUAGGGAAACUUACGCUAAUACCGCAUACGACCUACGGGUGAAAGCAGGGGAUCUUCGGACCUUGCGCGAUUGAAUGAGCCGAUGUCGGAUUAGCUAGUUGGCGGGGUAAAGGCCCACCAAGGCGACGAUCCGUAGCUGGUCUGAGAGGAUGAUCAGCCACACUGGAACUGAGACACGGUCCAGACUCCUACGGGAGGCAGCAGUGGGGAAUAUUGGACAAUGGGCGCAAGCCUGAUCCAGCCAUACCGCGUGGGUGAAGAAGGCCUUCGGGUUGUAAAGCCCUUUUGUUGGGAAAGAAAAGCAGCAGGUUAAAACCCCGCUGUUCUGACGGUACCCAAAGAAUAAGCACCGGCUAACUUCGUG